rnacentral:rRNA from 1 species
GAUGAACGCUGGCGGCGUGCCUAAUACAUGCAAGUCGAGCGAACGGACGAGAAGCUUGCUCCUCUGAUGUUAGCGGCGGACGGGUGAGUAACACGUGGAUAACCUACCUAUAAGACUGGGAUAACUUCGGGAAACCGUAGCUAAUACCGGAUCAUAUUUUGAACCGCAUGGUUCAAAAGUGAAAGACGGUUUUGCUGUCACUUAUAGAUGGAUCCGCGCUGCAUUAGCUAGUUGGUAAGGUAACGGCUUACCAAGGCAACGAUGCGUAGCCGACCUGAGAGGGUGAUCGGCCACACUGGAACUGAGACACGGUCCAGACUCCUACGGGAGGCAGCAGUAGGGAAUCUUCCGCAAUGGGCGAAAGCCUGACGGAGCAACGCCGCGUGAGUGAUGAAGGUCUUCGGAUCGUAAAACUCUGUUAUUAGGGAAGAACAUAUGUGUAAGUAACUGUGCACGUCUUGACGGUACCUAAUCAGAAAGCCACGGCUAACUACGUG